rfam:Xenopus laevis strain J chromosome 3L, whole genome shotgun sequence.
AUGACCGAUUUCUUCUGGUGUUCAGAGUCUUUUGUUUUCUAGCACCAUUUGAAAUCGGUUAU